CAGGAGUGUAUUUAUAGCAUAAAGUUACCGUUAUAUUUGGACCGGAAUGUAAAAGUUGAAGUUUUUGACAAAAUCUGUGAUGAGCUAAAUGUGCCAAAACAAAAAAAUUGGAAAAAUAUAAGAACACAAUAUUUACAGAAAUUCGUGAAGUGCGCAAUUCACGAAAAAGCGGAGCUGGAAUAAACGAUUUGUAUUCUCCAAAGUUAUGGUGCUUCUCGCUGCUGCAAUUUUUGGAACAGUAUACCCAAAUUAUGUGGGGAAAAUCUAACUACGAGGAUCCAAGCGCGUCAGGAAGUCGGGAGUGUAAAAAUAAUAUAUGUCCAACAACAACCCAACAAAUUGUGGCUGAAGAAAUUGUUAAUAUAGCAAAUCAUUCAUAUAUAUGUGUAUAAAACAAAUAGUUUUAAGGUUUAUACUUAUCUAUAUUUAUAAACAACUGAAAUAAUGAAUGGCGAAAAAGAAAGGCAGAAGAAAAAGGGAAAGAGCACUGCAUUGACUAAAGUGAGGCAGGAUUUGGCGACUGUGAGAGAACAAAUCGCUGAAAGACGCAAUAGACCGAAUAGGUGGUUUGGCAAGUUGGUCUCUGCGAAAAUGGAGGAGAGAGUUCCUCACAUGCGAGAAGACGAUCAAUAGGAGGUCCAAUGCCUUAUGCGCCGUUUAACACAAAAAUUUAACCGAUAUCGUGAUUCGCAGUUACAAUCCCCUCAGAACGACUUACUUCAGAAUGCAAUG
rnacentral:lncRNA from 1 species